CACGCAUGGACGCAUGUCUGCAGUCUGCGCGGAAGAUGACAGACAAUUAAUUCUUCUGGUACCAGCCUGCAUAAGACAGCACUUCUGUUUUACCUCUUGUAGACUCGCCGAUAAACGCAAACGUUUCGGAGAAACACUUAAGUUAUGAAGAUGCCGACAUCCUGAAACGGUAGCAUUUACUGUUUCGGAGGAUCGUAUUGUCUACAUCCUCAGAUCCUGAACGACGUACGCGUUACUAUGAAGAAAAACAAGAGAAUAACGAGAAGGGGAGAUGACGGAAAAAGAACGUCUUCCCCCUCCAAAUAAAAUAGGCCUGAGUACGAAAUUACACCAUGAAAACUACUGCGUUGACUUCAGAGCCUUUAAAUGUUUAUCAUAUGAAGACGGGCAAUUUAAACCUCGUGUUGCGUGGCCGCCAGCCAGGGUUAAGGGUUUGGCUGUACGCUAGUUUGACACAUGACCGUCUGGAUCACGUGCAAGGCGCAUCGCAAGGACGAUGAAGAUUAAUGACACCAAAACAUGGAAAUAAUGAAAAGUUUCGGAUUUCAGAGUAUUAGUAGAAAUCCAUAUACUUUAUUAAAUGGGUAAAAUAUAAACAGUUUUCAUAUUAUUUUGUGCACUGUAUUUUAUUUUACAUUUUGUAUACAAUAUCUAGCGCGGUGUGUGUAUAUAUAUCUGUAUAAU